GGGACGAUAAUAAUGGCGUACAAAAUGAUCAAAGCAAUAGUGAUAGUGGCGGUGGCGACUAUAGUAAUGGUAGAACAUUGAUAAUAUGAUCGUCAUGAUAAUAAUUGUGGAGUAGCAAAGGCUAUGCUAAUACUUUCAGUCAAUCAAGAAAUUUAGUAUUAUUUUUUAGAUAUUCAAAGACAAUCAAUCAAAUUAAGACCGGUUGCCAUAUGCUAGAGAUGGUAAUAGAUCAUAGUGGUGGUGAUCAUAGUUACGAUAAUGAUAAUGGUGG
rnacentral:lncRNA from 1 species